UUCUUACAAGGCAUAUUACAAACAUAGCAGAUUUUCGACAAAAUCAAGAAUAUAUCACAGUUUUAAUUUACCGGAAUGAUGGAAAAACAGUAUAUACUAUCCACAUGAUCCGCCACCGUAUAUCGAUGGUGUGAGAAUAAAUAGCCCACAUUACUUGUGUAAAAUCAAACUUGGUGAUCAGAGUGGCGCAAAAUAUACUUUGGUCAUAUCUCAAUAUGAGAAAACAAAUACUAUCUAUUACACGCUCCGUGCAUAUGGAACAUGUCCGUUUAUAUUACGGAAAAUACCUCAACUUUAUAAAUAUCAUAUUUUUAGAUUGUCCUAUUCUUAGAUUAAUUUAUUAUAUAUUAACGUGAUCUUUCAUAGGUCACAGGUCAAUGGAAGAACGUCACAGCAGGAGGAUGUGGCAAUCAUCCCACUUAAGUGAAUAAUCCACGAUAUCAAAUAGUGAUUAAAAGCGCUAGCAAUAAUAAUUAUUUAUUAAUUAUUUUGAAAGGACUUAAACAGUACCAAAUAGGCUUUGACAUUAAUACCGUUGUACUAAACGAUGCAAAUGCAGCAACUGCUUUUAAAACAAAAAGUUCUGGACCAUUUAGAUCCGGAUUUGUAUAUUUGGAACUAGAAGAUGUACCCGCAGGAACAUACCAUAUUAUUCCAUCUAUAUAUGUACCUGGUCAAAAAGGACCAUUCUUUUUAAUUUGUAAAUCUUGCAACUUGCAGCUACAACUUCUUUAACAAAUUAAAUAAAUUGUUGAACUAUAA